UACGUAGGGGGCAAGCGUUGUCCGGAAUCACUGGGCGUAAAGCGCGCGCAGGCGGUCCUUUAAGUCUGAUGUGAAAGCCCACGGCUCAACCGUGGAAGGUCAUUGGAAACUGGGGGACUUGAGUGCAGAAGAGGAAAGUGGAAUUCCAAGUGUAGCGGUGAAAUGCGUAGAGAUUUGGAGGAACACCAGUGGCGAAGGCGACUUUCUGGUCUGUAACUGACGCUGAGGCGCGAAAGCGUGGGGAGCAAACAGG
rnacentral:rRNA from 1 species